AGAGUUUGAUCCUGGCUCAGAUUGAACGCUGGCGGUAUGCUUAACACAUGCAAGUCGAACGGAAACGAUGGUAGCUUGCUACCAGGCGUCGAGUGGCGGACGGGUGAGUAACGCGUAGGAAUAUGCCCAGUAGUGGGGGACAACUCGGGGAAACUCGAGCUAAUACCGCAUACGCUCUACGGAGGAAAGUGGGGGAUCUUCGGACCUCACGCUGUUAGAGGAGCCUGCGUUGGAUUAGCUAGUUGGUGAGGUAAAGGCUCACCAAGGCGACGAUCUAUAGCUGGUCUGAGAGGACGAUCAGCCACACUGGAACUGAGACACGGUCCAGACUCCUACGGGAGGCAGCAGUGGGGAAUCUUGGGCAAUGGGCGAAAGCCUGACCCAGCCAUGCCGCGUGUGUGAAGAAGGCCUUCGGGUUGUAAAGCACUUUCAGUAGCGAAGAAAAGCCUAGGGGUAAUAUCCCUGGGUCUUGACGUUAACUACAGAAGAAGCACCGGCUAACUCCGUGCCAGCAGCCGCGGUAAUACGGAGGGUGUAAGCGUUAAUCGGAAUUACUGGGCGUAAAGCGCUCGCAGGCGGUUUGUUAAGUCGGAUGUGAAAGCCCCGGGCUCAACCUGGGAACUGCAUUCGAUACUGGCAAACUAGAGUAUAGUAGAGGCAAGUGGAAUUCCGGGUGUAGCGGUGAAAUGCGUAGAUAUCCGGAGGAACAUCAGUGGCGAAGGCGACUUGCUGGACUAAUACUGACGCUGAGGAGCGAAAGCGUGGGGAGCAAACGGGAUUAGAUACCCCGGUAGUCCACGCCGUAAACGAUGUCAACUAGCCGUUGGGGAUCUUAGUAUCUUUAGUGGCGCAGCUAACGCAUUAAGUUGACCGCCUGGGGAGUACGGUCGCAAGACUAAAACUCAAAGGAAUUGACGGGGGCCCGCACAAGCGGUGGAGCAUGUGGUUUAAUUCGAUGCAACGCGAAGAACCUUACCUACCCUUGACAUCAUCAGAACUUGUUAGAGAUAACUCGGUGCCUUCGGGAACUGAAUGACAGGUGCUGCAUGGCUGUCGUCAGCUCGUGUCGUGAGAUGUUGGGUUAAGUCCCGUAACGAGCGCAACCCUUGUCCUUAGUUGCCAGCGCGUAAUGGCGGGGACUCUAGGGACUGCCGGUGACAAAACGGAGGAAGGUGGGGACGACGUCAAGUCAUCAUGGCCCUUACGACCUGGGCUACACACGUGCUACAAUGGGCGGUACAGAGGGUUGCGACCCAGCGAUGGUGAGCUAAUCCCUUAAAACCGUUCGUAGUCCGGAUUGGAGUCUGCAACUCGACUCCAUGAAGCCGGAAUCGCUAGUAAUCGCGAAUCAGCAUGUCGCGGUGAAUACGUUCCCGGGCCUUGUACACACCGCCCGUCACACCAUGGGAGUGGGUUGUACCAGAAGUAGGUAGUCUAACCGCAAGGAGGACGCUUACCACGGUAUGGUUCAUGACUGGGGUGAAGUCGGAACAAGGUA
rnacentral:rRNA from 1 species